rnacentral:rRNA from 1 species
CGGACGGGUGAGUAAUGUCUGGGGAAACAGCCUGAUGGAGGGGGGUAACUACUGGAAACGGUAGCUAAUACCGCAUAACGUCGCAAGACCAAAGAGGGGGACCUUAGGGCCUCUUGCCAUCGGAUGUGCCCAGAUGGGAUUAGCUAGUAGGUGGGGUAACGGCUCACCUAGGCGACGAUCCCUAGCUGGUCUGAGAGGAUGACCAGCCACACUGGAACUGAGACACGGUCCAG